UUUUAAGGUUCCUCCUUUUACGGUUCCUCCAUGUUUUCUCAUGGAUUAAAAGCUCAUUUCUUUUUAUCACUGAAUAAUAUUCUAUCGAAUGAACCUACCACAGUUUAUCCAUUCACCUUUGGAAGGAUGUCUUGGUUACCUACAGUUUUUGUCAGUUAGGAACAAGCUGCUAUAAACAUUCAUGUACGGGUUUAUUAUACUGUUUUCUAGCUUUUUUUUUUUUUUUGGCAGGGAAAGAUUCACCAAUCUUUCUCUUUUUUUUUUUCUCCCCAAAGCCACAGUGCAUGGUUGUAUAUCCUAGUUGUAAGUCCUUCUAGUACUUCUGUGUGAGCUCCCACCACAGCAUGGCAGCUGACAGACCCUCAGGAACCGAACUGGGAGGCAGAAGUGACCUGCAGGGGAAUUAUUUUUCAUGUGUGAUGUCACAUGGGGACCAAAAUUCUUUCUUCCAUAUGGACAUCCAGUUAGCGCAGCACCAUAUAGUCAAAGAUCUUCCUUGCCCCAAUGUACUGCAGUGUUAACUUUGCUGGAAAUCAGGUGACCAAUUGUAGGUCCUUCUAGUUGUGGCAUGCAGGAGGCUGCCUCAACAUGGCCUGAUGAGCGGUGCCGCAUCCGUGCCCAGGAUCCAAACCAGCAAAAUCCAAGACAGCUGAAGCAGAGUGCGUGAACUUAACCACUCGGCCAUGGGGCCAGCCCCUGAAAAUGUUUUUAUUUCAUUUUCAGUCUUGAAGAGUGUUUCUUCUGGGUGCAGUAUUUCAGCUCUCUGAUGACACUAACGCAUUGUAUUUUGGACUUCAUUGUUCUGUUGAGAUUUUAUGUGUCAUUCUAAUGAUUGCUCCUUUGAAGGAAAGCUAUCUGUUCUCUCUUGUCUAGGUGUGAUUUUCUUUUAUAAAUCCUCUUUGGGAGUUGAUAGAAAUUCUUGCAUCUGUGACUUGAUAUCUUUAAUCAAUUUUGGAAAAUUCUCAGUCGUUGUCUCUUCAAAUAUUGUUUCUGCAUCAUUUCUCUCUCCUUUAUGUAUAAGGACUCCGAUUACACCUAUAUUAGGCCUUCUUAAUGUAUUGCUUGCUUUUACUUCUACAUUUUAUUUAUUUUUGACUCUCCAUGCAAUUUGGAUAUUUCUUCAGUUUUAUUUUUUAGUACAUUAAUUCUCUCCUCAGCUUUGUCUAAUCUGCCAUUAAUUCCACACAUUGAGUUCCUAUUUCUCAGUUAUGGUGUUAUUUAUGUCUAGAAUUUCUACUUGUUUUUUUUUAAUGGUUUCUAGUUCUUUGAUGAAGUUCUGAGGGAAUACAAAGAGUUACCCAGCAUGUCCACGGCAGGUAGACUCUUGCCCUAAGACUGGCUUUGGAACCAUCUGAGGAGCUGCUGGAAGCUGUUGCAACAUUGGUGGUGCCCUGUGAACAGAUCUCUGGUGACCAACAAAGAGCUUCUUGGCUCACAGAUGGAAGUUCCAAGAUGAGCAGACAGCAUCUUGUUUGGAAGGCUGCCACUCUGACUGAAAAAGGCAAAAACAAAUCAAGUAUAUUGGGAAAUGGAGUUAAAAGCCUCCUAUCCUUAUCCCGCCCUGUGUCCUCCAAACGUUAGGCAUAUUCAUGUUGGACUCCUGCUGCCUAUGUUAUAUAAAUGCUACACCAAAUGGAGGUGCUCAGACAGGUUUGAUCAUUCUGUUAUAAGGGAACCAUGCCCAAAGACCAGGGGGUGGCCUCUGUUUAUAAGAAAGAACUUGUCUGGUCUUUGUCCUGAGUUCCUGGAACAGAGCUUCUAGAGCUUGAAAUUUCCUGGGUGAUCAGAGUGUCUCGUAACUCAUGAGCCCCUUGUAUUACACCUGAGUUUAUGCUCAUGAGGUGACUCAUGGUGAGCCCUUAGAUAGCUUCAGGACAGGUCCUGGUUUGAGCCAUGUGAUAUCAGCACGACCUCCCAACCUCCAGGGAGAAGAUGGGGCCUGGAGAUUGAGUUCCAUCACAUGGCCAGUGAUUCAAUCAAGCUUGCUUAUGUAAUGGAACCCUAAGAAAAACUGGGCUACUGAAGCUCUGUGAAACCUCCUGGCUGGUGAACACACAGAUGUGCCAGGAGAGUAAUAUGCCCUGAUUCCACGGGGAGAGGGCACAGAAGCUCUGUGUUUGGGAACUUCCCAAGCAUAGCCCUCUAUGUCUUUUCAUUUGGCUGGUCCUUUAUAAUAAAACUAAAAUCAUAAAUAUUCUGCUUUCCUGAGCUCUGUGAGUCAUUAUAAUGAAAUAUUGAACCUAGGGUGUCAUGGGAACCCUUGAAUCUGUACCAGUUGGUCAAAAGUGCAGGUGGCCUGGGGACCCCCAAGGUGAGGACAGUCUUGCUGGGCACUGACCAUGCCCUUAAACCUGUGGAGUUUGACGCUAACUCCAGGUGGUUAGUAUCAGGAUUGGAUUUUAGUAAGCUAGUUGGUAUCAGGACAGAUUCCACUUUUUACCCCUAACCGCAAAAGGCUGUCAGAUACUCUGCUCAGCUUCUCAAGCUCUCAACUGCUUCUUCUGGACUCAACUGAUGCCCACUGGGGAAAGGCAACACUAAAUGCUGAGCUUGCCUCUCUAGCUUUCCUUCUGAAUUUUGGCCCUAUAAUUUCUCGUUGCCCUGUUAGAACUUCAGUCCUUCAGUCAGAUGUUUUCAUAUUCUGUCUGGAUUUUCUAUUUGUCGUCAGUGGAAAGUUUGCUCUGCAUUAUCCAGUCUACCAUUAAUGGAAACAUAAAUCCCUCUUCUCAUAGAUUUUUUUUUUCAUUGUGGUUAAAUACACAUUGACAUAAAAUAUAUCAUUUGAACCGUUUUAAAGUGUACAAUUCAGUGACAUUUAGUAUAUUUUCAAUGUUCUACAACCGUCACCACUAUCUAGUUCCAGAAUAUUUUCGUCACCUCAAAAGGAAACCCCACAUCCAUUAAAAAGUCAUUCCCCAUUCCAUCUCCCCCAGCCCCUGGCAGCCACUAAUCUGCUUUCUGUCUCCAUGGAUUUGCCUAUUUUGGGUAUUUCAGAGAAAUGAAAUCAUGCAGUAUGUGGCCUUUUGUGUCUGGCUUCUUUCACUUAGUAUGUUUUCAAGGUCAUAGAUUUUUUUUAUGUGGUGUUUUCUUUGUUUUUUAAAUAUUCUUCAGUUACGUUUUGUUUUCCUUUUUGACUCAGGAGGCAUUUAGGAGACUGUUUUCUAAUUUUUGUUCUAUUUGUAUUAUUCAUUGUUAGUUUUGGUGCACCAUAGUCCGAGAAUAUAACUGAUUCUAUUUCCAUUUUUUUGUUAAUAAUUUUCUUUUUG
ensembl:lncRNA